GACGAACGCUGGCGGCGUGCUUAACACAUGCAAGUCGAACGGAAAGGCCCUGCUUUUGUGGGGUGCUCGAGUGGCGAACGGGGGAGUAACACGUGAGUAACCUGCCCUUGACUGUGGGAUAACUUCAGGAAACUGGGGCUAAUACCGGAUAGGAGCUCCUGCUGCAGGGUGGGGGUUGGAAAGUUUCGGCGGUUGGGGAUGGACUCGCGGCUUAUCAGCUUGUUGGUGGGGUAGUGGCUUACCAAGGCUUUGACGGGUAGCCGGCCUGAGAGGGUGACCGGCCACAUUGGGACUGAGCUACGGCCCAGACUCCUACGGGAGGCAGCAGUGAGGAAUAUUGCACAAUGGGCGGAAGCCUGAUGCAGCCCAGCCGCGUGCGGGAUGACGGCCUUCGGGUUGUAAACCGCUUUCGCCUGUGACGAAGCGUGAGUGACGGUAAUGGGUAAAGAAGCACCGGCUAACUACGUG
rnacentral:rRNA from 1 species